rnacentral:rRNA from 1 species
UACCAGCACCCCGAGUGGGCGGGACGAUUAUUGGGCCUAAAGCAUCCGUAGCCGGUUCUACAAGUCUUCCGUUAAAUCCACCUGCUUAACAGAUGGGCUGCGGAGGAUACUAUAGAGCUAGGAGGCGGGAGAGGCAAGCGGUACUUAGUGGGUAGGGGUAAAAUCCGUUGAUCCAUUGAAGACCACCAGUGGCGAAGGCGGCUUGCCAGAACGCACUCGACGGUGAGGGAUGAAAGCUGGGGGAGCAAACCGG